rnacentral:misc_RNA from 1 species
CCUCCCACAAUAUAAUCCAACUCAGUCCAAAUGCUCAUCAACAAUGGAGCAAUUUACUCAAAACAAGGCGACACAACCACCAUAAAUUCAGUAACAUUAGAUUGUAGCACUAUUGAAACGCAGGUAUAUGUAACUUCUAACCUCUUAACAAACAUCACAUUCAAGUUCAAUAUCCAACUCUAUGAUUUUUUUUGUGUUUAUAAUGAGGAAUUAGUCAAGUAAUCAAGGGAACACAUACAACAGCAAAAUUUCAUGAAGAAUUCUCACAUUCAAUUCUUUCAAAUAAUGGCAAAUGAAGCCUAUAAUGCAUUUUCGCUGAAAACUGUGGCCAUCCAAAUAUUUCUGAAUAAAUCUAUCUAUGCAGUUGCAUUGGCCAAUUCCUUGACCUGUACAAUCUUCUGUGGCUGUAGGCAAAGAAGAAAAGUGCAUAUUUUAACAUCUUCAAUAUAAGAAUCAAGGGAAAAAAAUAAAUAAAUAAAACUCAACUGUGUGUUUUAUUAGUUCAUUUUUCCUCGAGAACAAAUGUAAAAAUUUACUGUUUUGAUAAGAUUUAAACCGUAAAUACAUUAUUUAUUAACUGAACAUUUCACAUUGGUUGUGAUUUUAUCAUCAUAUAUGUAAAUUAAUCCUAAAAUAGAGAUUAAUUUAUGCAGAUGAGUGAUACUUCGAGGAUAUAGAAAUUUAAUAUCUUUCAUCUUGAUAAUUUAAAUCAUAUCCCAAAGCCAACGAAAAUGCACUUCACAUCAAAUAAAUGCAUGACCAUGAUGCACUGGAAAUAUAAUGAACAUUCAAGAACAUAUUCUGAUUCUACUUUAAAAACAAAGAACCCCAAAAAAAGAUAUGAAGAUCACUUUAUUGAGUAUUUUGCAAUGUGAAACUAGGAAAUGGGGCUCAUGCCAUAUGGAACAUCCGCAGCAUUAAUGAACAUCUUGUAAAUCCUUGUGUCAACCACAAUUAUAUCAACCUCUUACCGCUGCUAAUUCCUGCUCAUGCUUUGGAAUGAAAGCAGUGUCAACCUUGCCAUUUCUGAAGUCCUGUGUACAAUAUACAAAGAAAGAUAAGAUCACAGAACAACGCCUCAACUCAACCUAAACUACAUGGUUUUCUUAAUUAAAGGUACAAAUGCUUUUCAUACCUCAAUGUCAAGGAUAAGUUUAUGAUAGUCGAUGGUUGUAGGAACUCCUGGAGUGAGAAAGAGUAAGAGAUCAAACAAUACUAAAGGUAUCAAGCACAAAUUAAAUUUGAUAUAAGAGUUUACUGUCUUUAAGGCUCUAUUUGUUUCACGGAGUCUAUUUUCCAAGCAAAACGCUUUGAGAAAAUGACUCAUUUUCUGUUUUGAUGCAAAAAAAAUUAGUCAAAAAAAUCUAGCCUUAAUUAGUUCCUGUAAUUAAGUACGAUCAGCUGUGAUUAUGUGUCUAUUAGUUAGGCUAGAAUCUAUAAUCUUCCUCUUUUGUAUUUUGUAAAUCUUAUAAAUUCCCAAUCAAGCUUGAGGGAAAUAAUCAAGCUUUUCUCUCACAAAAUACUAUCUUUUCUUUCACUUUCUUCAAUAGUGAAUGCAUUGCUACCACCCCAAUAGAGUACUAAUAAAAGGCCAUUGGGAAGGGGAGCUCAUCAAAAUUCUUGCACUUACCUGUAAUAAUAGUGUCAUCCAGUGCUCUUUUCAUGCGUUCAAUUGCCUUUUCUCGAGUCGGAGCCCACACGAUAAGCUACAAUAAGUUGUCAAAUUAGCACAAUAACUAGAAUUGUGUUAAAGCCAACCGUUUUCAAUUCAGAUAAGCAGUGAUACAUGCAUUGUAGCUUUCAAGAAUAGGUUACAAGACACCUAUCAACAAUGUCAAGGUGGAAAGAAAAAGAAUUUAAAACCACUAAAUCAUGUACACAUUUAGACACCUAUGUCCUCAACAAAUGCAAAGAAUAGCUUAAGCGACAAAUCAAAUAAUCAAAUCAUUGAUGUUAACAAGAGCCACAACUUGUUCUGAUACCUACAAUUACAUUAUUUUAAUUAUUUGAUAUUUUGUUUCAUAUUUGGAUGUCCAAAAACCUUAAUUCUUACUUACUAGAAGACCUGCAUAACCUUCAAGAUUUAAAAUAAAUUAGCUUUUACUAAUUCAUAACUUCAAUAAAUCUCGCCUUCCAGAUUUUAGGUCCUUCGGGUACAGUUGUAAUCCCCCAUGUGCAUGAAGAUAGUAGGAAAUGCUAAAGCCACAAAUACAAAAGCUCAAGAUAUUAGGUAGAGACUCAAACCAUGAAAAGCCGUGCAAAACUUUACUCUUGAUUAAUAAGUGAUCAGUCACAUGUUCACCCCAUCAUAUACAAGUCAAACUUGAUUAAUAAGGGAUCAGUCACAUGCUCACCCCAUCAUAUUCGAGUCAAACUAAUGGCCAACAUUGACAACAAAUGGGUAUUCUAACAACAAUAAUAAAACCUACAUAACAGCAGCUGGCUGCCUGGCUCUAACAAAAAGCUGAAAAGCCAACCCAGAUAUCAAUAUAUCAUAGAAUACUAUGAGGGAGCCAGAUAGCACAACAGUCCACACAAAACCUCAUGCUUAUCCAAUACUGGAUUCAUCAAGAACAGUGACACUAUUUGGUCCACUAGAACAAACUUAUGAUGACAAGUGAACAAUAAAGCCAAGUUUUUAUUUCACCCUACCACCAGUAAAACAAGUGUGCCUAAAUACCUGUAAAGUACAUUGGGAGAAAGGAAAAGAAAUAACAGUGGCCAAACCAUAAAAAGAAGUGGCUCAGUUAUGUCUGUAUAAUGAGUACAUGCACACAUUAUCAUUAAUUCACAUGCAAACCACAAAGGAAAUUCUAGAAGAUAGCAAGUAUAUAUAUUCAUAUGAAUCCUUAAGAAUAAUGAUGACAUAUGGCUCAUGCAUCCAUCUUGCUGCAGCCAAAAACUUCAACAGAAGCAAGAAGUUUGACAAACCUUUCCCAGUAGGGAAUCAUAGCUUGGUGGAACCACAUAAUCAGGAUAAACAUGGCUAUCCAUUCUGACAAACGGGCCUCCAGAAGGCAAAUAUGAUGUUAUCCUUCCUGUUGUUCAAAAUGAGAAGUGGAUGAAUAUUUAGGAGAAACUGAAUAUAUUAUCCUAUUGUGUCCCAUUUCCUUCAUUUUCGUUGUUUUGAAAGGAUACCUAUGCAAGUGAGAGUAAUCAAAAAAGCUUAAUAAAUGAACAUCAAAAAACUUCAACAAAAGGCACAGGUAAAUUGUGAUGAAGCAGCCACCAAACAGGUAAAAUUAGAAAAGGCAACAAACCCCAAGGCUUCAUCAACUUAUCACUUGACUGCAUUCCCAUACAGAAGGGUAAAAUAAAUGUCAAAUGGAAAAUGAAAAAUUUAUCCAUAGACUGAUGGGAUUUGAUGAGUAAAACUAAUCAUAAUGGGAUAAGAAUACCUUUAAGCCGAAAACAAGGCACUCAAGAGGAACAAAUAGCAACAAUUAGAUUGCAUAAACAUAAAAGACAGGACAAGCAACAUUGUAGACAUACCUGGCCCAGGUCGGAAUCCCUUAAAAGCAUCUUCUGCAUUGAUACGGCAUUCGAUUGAAUGUCCUCUUAGCACAAUAUCUUCCUGUUUGUAGCGGAGCUUUUCUCCCAAGGCUACACGAAUUUGUUCCUCAAUCAAAUCAACAGAGGAAAUCAUUUCAGUUACCGGAUGUUCAACCUGGAUUCGAGUGUUCAUUUCCAUGAAGUAGAAGGAACCCCUUUCAUCCAAAAGGAACUCAACUGUUCCAACACCAAUAUACCCUAUAGAUGCUGCUGCUGCAACUGCAGCAUCACCCAUAGCUUUCCGCAACUCAGGGGUCAAUGCAGGAGAAGGUGCCUCUUCAAGCAGCUUUUGAUUGCGUCUCUGGAUGCUGCAGUCACGCUCACCAAAGUGGACAACAUUUCCAUAUUUAUCUGCAAGAACCUGGAACUCAAUAUGCCUUGGAUUUUGAAUGUACUUCUCCAGAUAAACUCCAUCAUUUCCAAAUGCUGCAGCUGCCUCACUCUUAGCUUGCUGUAGCAAUUUCACAAACUCAUCAGGUUCUUUAGCAAGGCGCAUUCCACGUCCUCCACCACCUGCUGUUGCCUUGAUCAUCACAGGAAAUCCAAUCUCGUGAGCAAGCUUCAGUGCUUCCUCUGUACUCUGUAGCAACCCAUCACUCCCAGGCACAGUUGGAACACCUGCAUUCUUCAUUGUUUCUCUAGCAGUUGAUUUGUCACCCAUGACUCGGAUACUGUCAGGAUUAGGCCCAAUAAAGUUGAUCCCAUGUUCCCUGCACAUUUCAACAAAUACUGCAUUCUCAGCAAGGAAACCAUAUCCAGGGUGCAACAUUGUACAUCCACGACUUAUAGCAGCCGAUAAAACAUUUGGAAUCAAUAAGUACGACUGACUGCUUGGUGCUUCACCUAUGCAAACUGAUUCAUCAGCCAAUUUGACAUGAAGUGCAUCCUUGUCUAUGGUUGAGUAAACAGCAACACAAGGUAUACCCAGCUCGUGCGCAGUUCGGAUAACACGAACAGCAAUUUCUCCUCUAUUUGCAAUUAAAAUUUUAUCAGCACGGCAUGUAGCCCCAAGCGCACCUACACCAGUUUUUUUAGCUUUAUAGCUAACUUGGGCAGCCCGAACUCCUUGUCUUGGAAAAUUAAUCCUACUUCCCACCAUAAAGCUACAUUGGGAACUCCCAAUUCCUCUAGUCCUCCCCAUGAAUAAGCCAGGAGUUGUUGAAGUAACAACAGAUUUGCACACUGGCAAUGUAGCCUCCAUUGUUGAAAACCAAAUUGCCAGAAACCAAGAUCUCAAGGAGAGUAAAGAAAGAGAUUGGAGAAGAAGAGUGAAGACUUGGGCUUUAUUAAGGUUUAAGAGGGGAAGGAAAAGGGCCGAUAGAAACGAGGAGAGGGUAACAUUGAAUGCUCCGCCUGAUUUGGUUGGCAAACUUACCUGCUUCUGCUCGACUUUAUCUACGGUUCUCUCUCUGCAGUUU